UGAGCAUAUUUGGAUAGCCAGCACCUGAAGCCAGAACCACCUGACCAGCUGUGAGAAGCCGCCUCAUCCCUGCAGGUGGCCACCAUCCAGGAGUGCGCAUCCACAGCAGCCCUUGGGCUGAGGGACUUCUGAGCUCAUCCGGCGGCCCCUGCGCUCACCGUAACAACAGUGAUCCACUUACAAUGAUCCACACAUACGGUGAUCCACACAUAACGGUGUGUCCUGGCAUGUCUGGCUUCCUCUGUCCAUGUCAGGCUGGUGCUGUGCAAAAACACCGGUUUUCUCACACUGAUCGAAGCUCCCAGUAGAGUGAGGAGGGCACCUGUGAAUUGAGAAACUGAAUUUACCGUUUUAAGGAAACGCAACAGGGCCCAGAAAAGCCAAGAUGAGCACGAAGAGCCCGAAGAAAGUGGCUGCUCACACAGCAGGACGCCCCGGCCCCCCAGCUGCAGUGUUGGGCCCCGGCCCAGGAGGGAGCCCAGAGACAGAGCCACCGGUCCACAGGCCCUCAGCAGGAAUGGACAAGGCUGAAGGGCAGGGGCACACAGUUGGCUCAACAGUGUCACACACAAGUCAGUUGUAGGGGCUGUGGCGCCUUUAAGGCAAGCUUCUGGAAGGAAGCAGGAGAAUAGCCUGUAUCCUGGGGUUGGCAGAGAUCCAGGCUGCAGGAAAGCCCUGGCUGAGACCCUGUUCCCUGUUCAGGGGCUGAGCCAGCUCUGUGCUGGCCAUGGUGCUCUCGGUGGCCUCUCCUCAGCCUUGCCCAAUCCUGGGCAUCUCUGGCCGGGGGACCGGCUCAGGUGACCUCACCAGGGCCUCACAGAUCGAGGUCUCCUGCCCCAGGACCUGCAGCGCUGUAGUGUAGCAUCUACAUUGCGCUGUAUCUGAACUCAGUUGAGGCAGGCUAGGGCUUUUGAAGUGUUACCUCUUUCCCUCCCCUCACAGCGGAUCGUGUGAAGAAGGGAUUUGACUUCCAGUGGCCCCAACCCGAUAAACCGAUGUUCUUCUACGUGACCCAGGGCCAAGAGGAGAUUGCUAGCUCGGGCACCUCCUACCUGAAUAGGACCGAGGCUGCGAACGUGGAGAAGAUCACCACGAAGUUGCUGAAGGCAGGCGCCAAGCCGGACCAGAUUGGCAUCAUCACGCCCUAUGAGGGCCAGCGCUCCUACCUGGUGCAGUACAUGCAGUUCAGCGGCUCCCUGCACACCAAGCUCUACCAGGAGGUGGAGAUCGCCAGUGUGGACGCCUUUCAGGGACGCGAGAAGGACUUCAUCAUCCUGUCCUGUGUGCGGGCCAACGAGCACCAAGGCAUUGGGUUUUUAAAUGACCCCAGGCGUCUGAACGUGGCCCUGACCAGAGCAAGGUAUGGCGUCAUCAUUGUGGGCAACCCGAAGGCACUGUCGAAGCAGCCGCUCUGGAACCACCUGCUGAACUACUACAAGGAGCAGAAGGUGCUGGUGGAGGGGCCGCUCAACAACCUGCGCGAGAGCCUCAUGCAGUUCAGCAAGCCGCGGAAGCUGGUCAACACCAUCAACCCGGGAGCCCGCUUCAUGACCACAGCCAUGUAUGAUGCCCGGGAGGCCAUCAUCCCAGGCUCCGUCUAUGAUCGGAGCAGCCAGGGCCGGCCUUCCAGCAUGUACUUCCAGACCCAUGACCAGAUUGGCAUGAUCAGUGCCGGCCCUAGCCACGUUGCUGCCAUGAACAUUCCCAUCCCCUUCAACCUGGUCAUGCCACCCAUGCCACCACCUGGCUAUUUUGGACAAGCCAACGGGCCCGCUGCAGGGCGAGGCACCCCGAAAGGCAAGACUGGUCGUGGGGGACGCCAGAAGAACCGCUUUGGGCUUCCUGGACCCAGCCAGACCAACCUCCCCAACAGCCAAGCCAGCCAGGAUGUGGCGUCACAGCCCUUCUCUCAGGGCGCCCUGACGCAGGGCUACAUCUCCAUGAGCCAGCCUUCCCAGAUGAGCCAGCCCGGCCUCUCCCAGCCGGAGCUGUCCCAGGACAGUUACCUUGGUGACGAGUUUAAAUCACAAAUCGACGUGGCACUCUCGCAGGAUUCCACGUACCAGGGAGAGCGGGCUUACCAGCAUGGCGGGGUGACGGGGCUGUCCCAGUAUUAAAAGGUGGCGGCGGAAGAGCUAAGCAAUGUGGCUUAGUCCAUCAGCAUCUUAUUCUGGGUAAUAAAAAAUAAAAAUAAACGGAUACCUGUUUUCCACUGCUAAAACUGAAGCACCACUGUGUGAGCGACAGGAAGGGAGAGCGCACGAGGGAGAGGAGCCGAGGCCGAGCGCCCCCUGCUGGCCCGCGGCGGCGAGGAGCAGAGGGAGCGGAGGAGGGGCCGGCCCGCGGGAGCCGCGGCCACCAGGAGGCCCCGCUCCGUCCCACCGGGGCUGCGGCCAGGGCGGAGGGAGGAAGACCCUCAUCUCAGAGUAGCCCUUUCCUCUGUUCUUUUAUUUCUUUUUCUCUUUGAUUGAAAGGGGACUACGUCUUAGCAGGAAAAAACUUCGCAUUUCUGUGCCCGAGCAGGCUCCUUGCAAAGACAGCAGCGUGCGGGGCAGAGCCCCGGGAGGGCGCGUCUGUCCACGCCUACCGGACGCGCGUCGCACUGCCUGUGUUCUCCGAGGGCCUUCAUUUAAAGAAAAUAAGGGUGUUUGGGGUUUUUCUGUUUGUUUUUUUCAAGAUUCUUUUAAAGGAGUACUGAAGAAUACUUUCCUAAGUUUGUCUCUCAAAUCUUAGCGGUGGACCUGGGAGAUGUGAGAAGCUUCCAGAAACAGUUUAAAUAAGCCAGCGCCACUGGAGAAGAGGAGCAACACCUGUGCCGUGGCCGGAGGAGGAUUUUUGUUGUUGGUUUUAGCUUCCAGUGGCUUCUUGCUGCGGGGCAUCGGGCCGCUGGGGUAGCCGCCCGCCGAGCCUGGAAGCUGCUCGUUCUCCGCUGGACUCAGAAGCCAAGCUGCUUCCCACCUGGACUCGGCGCAGGGCCCCGCACCUGUGAGGAAGGUGCUUUUGGCCCCAUUGCGAGGGGCCUUGGCCAGGACUGGCCCUGUGGCCAGGAGGCGAGAAGGUGGCUGUUCCCGGAUUGACGGCUUUUUCCUGGGGGCCUUUGUGGAAGAUUUGGUGGAAGGACAAGAGGGCCUGGCCCUGUCCCCAUCCCCAGGAGGUACCGACGGUCCCUGUGCUGGUUAGACACACGGAGCACUGCAUACCGAAAGCCCAAAUUGGGAGCUCUGCCUGCCGGCAACUUUGCUGAUGGGGUGAUUGCUGCUUCUAGGGGGUAAGGAAACAAGUUACAGAAAUUACCGCGUUCUGUGUGAAGGGGCUGAGGGUGUGGUGUCAUUGGCAGAGGGUCAUUUUAGGAGAGCUGCCCCAGCCCCUCGAACGCCUGGCUUGGGGUGUCAUUCUGCCUGGCAGCCAGGCCUCCAGCCUCCCCUGGCCCGGGCCUGGGGCCGUCACUGGCCCUGAUCCGAACACCUCCAGAUUCCGGCUUCUACAUGGGACAGACGGGGACGCACAGGCCACCUUCCUUCUGGCAGGGACUCUUAUUUAUUCCCAUUGCUCUAGGGCUUUCGGUUUCCCCUUCUUCCGGUAGGCCGCGUAGAGGCAUGCACUGGGUAGGUUUCCGCGGUGACUCCGCGGCGGCCUGAGGGACGCUCCCUGCCCCAUCCCGGCUGUUGGGCUGGGCCGCUUUGCCUCUGCUUCGCCCUGUGCUGUGUUCUCCAGCUUUGUAGCAGCAGCCUUGACAAACCCAGGCGCACUGUACCAAGGCAAUGUAACUUUUGAUUUUCGGUCAAUUUAAGUUCUUUUGUCACCAAUAAAAUAUUAAUAAACAGUUUUGACUUC
rnacentral:sRNA from 1 species